rnacentral:rRNA from 1 species
AUUGAACGCUGGCGGCAUACUUAACACAUGCAAGUCGAACGGUAACAGGUGUAGCAAUACAUGCUGACGAGUGGCGGACGGGUGAGGAAUGCUUGGGAAUCUGCCUGUUAGUGGGGGACAACCCGGGGAAACUCGGGCUAAUACCGCAUACGCUCUACGGAGGAAAGCGGGGGACCGUAAGGCCUCGCGCUAACAGAUGAGCCCAAGUCGGAUUAGCUAGUUGGUGGGGUAAAAGCCUACCAAGGCGACGAUCCGUAGCUGGUCUGAGAGGACGAUCAGCCACACUGGGACUGAGACACGGCCCAGACUCCUACGGGAGGCAGCAGUGGGGAAUAUUGGACAAUGGGGGCAACCCUGAUCCAGCAAUGCCGCGUGUGUGAAGAAGGCCUGCGGGUUGUAAAGCACUUUUGGCAGGGAUGAAAAGCACUGGAUUAAUAACCCAGUGUGUUGACCUAACCUGCAGAAGAAGCACCGGCUAACUCUGUG